CCUACGGGAGGCAGCAGUGGGGAAUAUUGGGCAAUGGGCGCAAGCCUGACCCAGCAACGCCGCGUGAAGGAAGAAGGCUUUCGGGUUGUUAACUUCUUUUAAGAGGGAAGAGCAGAAGACGGUACCUCUUGAAUAAGCCACGGCUAACUACGUGCCAGCAGCCGCCGUAAUACGGAGGGGGCAAGCGUUGUCCGGAUUUACUGGGUGUAAAGGGCGUGCAGCCGGGAAGACAAGUCGGAUGUGAAAUCCCGGGGGUCAACCGCGGAACUGCAUUUGAAACUGUUUUUCUUGAGUACCGGAGAGGUAAGCGGAAUUCCUUGUGUAGCGGUGAAAUGCAUAGAUAUAAGGAAGAACACCGGUGGCGAAGGCGGAUGACUGGACGGCAACUGACGGUGAGGCACGAAAGCGUGGGGAGCAAACAGGAUUAGAUACCCCUGUAGUC
rnacentral:rRNA from 1 species